CGGGAACUCCAGGGAGACUGCCGGUGAUAAACCGGAGGAAGGUGGGGACGACGUCAAGUCAUCAUGGCCCUUACGAGUAGGGCUACACACGUGCUACAAUGGCGCAUACAGAGGGCGGCCAACUUGCGAAAGUGAGCGAAUCCCAAAAAGUGCGUCGUAGUCCGGAUUGGAGUCUGCAACUCGACUCCAUGAAGUCGGAAUCGCUAGUAAUCGUGAAUCAGAAUGUCACGGUGAAUACGUUCCCGGGCCUUGUACACACCGCCCGUCACACCAUGGGAGUGGGCUGCAAAAGAAGCAGGUAGUUUAACCUUCGGGAGGACGCUUGCCACUUUGUGGUUCAUGACUGGGGUGAAGUCGUAACAAGGUAGCGCUAGGGGAACCUGGCGCUGGAUCACCUCCUUAUACGAA
rnacentral:rRNA from 1 species